rnacentral:lncRNA from 1 species
GGUGCCCCUGUGCGAAGCUGGCGGUCAGCCGUGGGAUCAGUACUCCCGGAAGACACGACUCCCGGAAGACACGGCUGCCGGAGCUGCCUGGAUCCCAUCAGGGAAGCUUCCAGGAGUGCUGUGGCCAACAGUAGUAGUGGCUCCAAUGACAGCAGCAGUGAACUUCAGCACAACUCACUGGCCAGUAUUCUGGAGGAUGUGACACUGAUGUCAGCCAGAUUUUCAGUGGAGACAAUGGCACAAGAUGCCAACAGAAGCUUCUCCCAGGUUCUCUUCAGAUAUUUGAGCAUAUUUCCAGACCUCUUCAGGGAGAGGGCGUUUGACUCUGCUGAUGGGAACUUUGGCAGUUCUGUUUCUGAAGUGAUGAAAGCAAACUCGUGACGAUUUUCUGCAUCUGAGAAAGAACCAGUGACAUCUGCAGCCAAUACCAAGGAAAACACAUGGAAAGAGAUGAGAUAACCAACACCUUCCAGACAUGGUGGACUCUGUGGAGACCUACUGGAAGAAGCUUUCGGAACCUCCAUUAGCUUUGAGAGCAAUCAAAACUUCUGACUCUUUGACCACCUCCACCAACCCAUGAAGGCUCAUUUGUUCUUUGGAUUGUCAAUAAAGAGACUUUUGUUUUCGUUUUCCA